UUUACCAAAAUUAGCUCGCAAAUGAAGGAUAAUUCCGUUUUGACAGAGAUUGUCAGUAGGUUUCGCGAAAAAAAACGAUACGCAUAGGUAUCACGUUUCGAUGAAAUUUUUAUUUCUAAUAUAAACGUAUGAUCAAAUAUAUAUAUAUAUAUAUUUAUUAUAUAUAUAUAUAUAAAUAUAUAUAUACAUAUAUCGCAAAUGCGAAAAUGCACCACGUACCUAGACACAAAAGAUACAAAGUGACUGUAGAUACACGACGAUCGAAUAACGUCGAUAGUCGCAAGCUUUUUAUUUCAAUUUAAAGAAAAACGUGUUAUACGAACAUAAUAUUAAUUGUGAGCUUGUAAGUGAGUUAAAACUGACAUAAAAAUAUGCUUUAAAAUGUUAUUACAGCAAUGUAAAUAAAUCAAUUUACAAUGGAAGUUGCAAGUGUUGAUAUUUAAAAAAAAGAAAGAAAAAAAAAAAGUGACGUGGCUAGAGACGCACACAAGGAUACCGGGAUGGAGUUUACAUACGCCAGGAUCGUUCUGUGAUAAAUGCGGUGUAACAUUUACAACGCAGCACGCCCUUCUACGGCAUAUCACAUCGAGACACGAGGAGUCGCAGAGUUCUACCGCGUUCUGCAAUAUUUGUCAACGAUUUUUCAAAACAAAGUGGAGUUUGGCAACCCAUAACAGAACAAGGAAACCAGGGCAACUAUACAACUCAGAUUCAAUAAGGACUCUAGAAAGUCACUUUCCAGAAUAUGUUCCAUCAACACCAAAGAAGAUGAAUGCUACGAGAAGAUGUAAAGUUUGUGCAUCUAAGGGAAUGCGAAAGGAAUCUCGUUAUUAUUGCGCUUAUUGUAAUGUAGGGCUAUGUGUCACACCAUGUUUUAAAGAAUAUCAUAUUAAAAGUAAUGUCGAAUGAAAACAUGAAUUAAACACAAUUUUCUCUUUAAGAAAUUAUCUCUUGUA
rnacentral:misc_RNA from 1 species